AUCGCUUCUCGGCCUUUUGGCUAAGAUCAAGUGUAGAAAAAAGGAUAUCAGCACCGCAGUCUGUAUUUCAGUUUAUUUAUUUAUUUAUUUUAAGGUGGAGUUUUGCUCUGUCUCCCAGGCUGGAGUGCAGUGGCGUGAUCUCGGCUCACCGCCACCUCUGCCUCGCAGGUUCAAGCGAUUCUCC